UUUGAUGAAGUUUUCGGAUGGAUUUAAAACAGCUUAGUGGCGGACGGGUGAGUAACGCGUGGGUAACCUGCCUCACACAGGGGGAUAACAGUUGGAAACGGCUGCUAAUACCGCAUAAGCGCACGGUAUCGCAUGAUACAGUGUGAAAAACUCCGGUGGUGUGAGAUGGACCCGCGUCUGAUUAGCCAGUUGGCGGGGUAACGGCCCACCAAAGCGACGAUCAGUAGCCGGCCUGAGAGGGUGAACGGCCACAUUGGGACUGAGACACGGCCCAAACUCC
rnacentral:rRNA from 1 species